GACGAACGCUGGCGGCGUGCUUAACACAUGCAAGUCGAGGGCACUAUUGGGGCAACCUGGUAGUGACCGGCGAACGGGUGCGUAACACGUGAGCGACCUUGCCUCGUGGUGGGGGAUAGCCGGCCCAACGGCCGGGUAAUACCGCAUAUGGUAGUUUCUUCGCAUGGGGAGACUAGCAAAGCCUUGGAGCAAUCCAAUGGCGCCACAGGGGGGCG
rnacentral:rRNA from 1 species